GUAGUAGUGGCGAGCGAACGCGAGCAGGCCAGUGGUCUGUGCAAGAGAAGCCGAACAAUCGUGGAAAGGUUGGCCGCAGUGGGUGAUAGCCCCGUAGGCGUAGUGCUUGCAUGGAUCCUUGAGUAGGCGGGGCACGUGAAACCCUGUCUGAACAUGGGGGGACCACCCUCCAAGCCUAAAUACUCCUUGGCGACCGAUAGUGCACAAGUACCGUGAGGGAAAGGUGAAAAGCACCCCGACGAGGGGAGUGAAAGAGACCUGAAAACCGGAUGCUUACAAGCAGUCGGAGCUCGCAAGAGUGACGGCGUACCUUUUGUAUAAUGGGUCCGCGAGUUCGUGUUGGCAGCAAGCUUAAGCCGAGAGGUGUAGGCGCAGCGAAAGCGAGUCUGAAUAGGGCGCAUAGUUGCCGGCAUGAGACCCGAAACCUGGUGAUCUAGCCAUGGACAGGUUGAAGGUGGGGUAACACCCACUGGAGGACCGAACCCACGCCUGUUGAAAAAGUCGGGGAUGAUCUGUGGUUAGGGGUGAAAGGCC
rnacentral:rRNA from 1 species